UACAACAAAGGAAAAGGGCAGGUGUUAAGAAGAGAGAAUGUGCUACAGAACAAAAAUUUUUGUGGAAAUGUGUGCAGUCCUGGGGGAGAGCAAGUUCAUCAAGGAGCAUUCAGGCCUGUUGGGAGCUUUGCUGUCUGUGCCUCAGCAACUGCCCCGUGUCAGCAGCCAGCCUGCAAGGAAGGGGCCGCAUCAACCCUGGCCAAGUUGGAGCAGCCUCUGAAGUACUUCCAGCACUUCUGUAACUCACUGCACUGCUGGAGGAACUGAAUGGCUCGGACCUCCCUCCUGUUCAUCCACGUGGAGCCCCCAGUCAGCAGCCACUGAACUAUGCCCUCAGCAGACUGAGAAGGACGUGGGAUGGGCGGAGGUUGGUGCUGGCUUUGAGCGUGGCUUUGAGCAAACUUCAGGAAAGGUCAAUUUUUGCAGUUUCGAUGCAUUUUUUUCAGACUGUUUAUUCUGUGCACAUUUUACUUAGUGAUAAAAGAACAGAAGUCUGGACAUGUAAUUGCAUUUUUUGUUGGGCCUAUGUUCCCAGGAACCUGGAAAUCAAAGCAACGUGGGUAUGGCAGUGCAGAGCAUGAGAACCACCAAACAUGCCCUGGAACAGAGAAAUGCCCCUUUAUUGUUACGUGUAUUAUUGGUGUGUGUGUGUAUUUUUUUUUUUAACCAAACUGUUCUUUUUGUUCAGCUAUAUACUACUUAAUCAAAUCAAGGGCAAGGGGUCAAGCAUUGAUCCCACAUUACCGAUCAUGACAUCUGCUUAUGUUUCCUGAGAAUUCAAUCCUGAGCCCACUUGCUAUUAGCAUGCUUGAGAGGAUCCGAAAAAAGCUUUGGCGCGUUCACAUUUGGAAAGAAUAAUAAAAUGUCCUACUGUUAGGAAAGCCCACGCUGUAGACCAGAAGUCAGAGAAUGCUACAUUUGUUAUUCUGUACGUAUAAUAAAUAGCUGGUUAGGUAUGUUACAGCUGAAAUAUGAAAUGUUAGUUUUUAGUAAUGACACAGACAGUGCAGGAGGAGGUCUGAAGGCUGGCUGUGCGUCCUGAGAGGCUGGCUGCAGGCGCUGCUUUUGGAACAAGCAUGAUCCAAUUGAGGGAUGUGCAUGGGCAGCAGGAUUUGUGAUUUGGGGGAAAAUGCAGAUUUAAGCCUUGACAUAAAGAAAAGGAAGAACAUAAAAAGAGCUUUAAAAAGGAAAUAAAGGAUGUAAUUCACAGUCCAUUGAAAUCAAUGGGAAUUAUCUCA